rnacentral:rRNA from 1 species
AUUGAACGCUGGCAGCAUGCCUUACACAUGCAAGUCGAACGGCAGCACGGGUGCUUGCACCUGGUGGCGAGUGGCGAACGGGUGAGUAAUACAUCGGAACGUACCUUAUCGUGGGGGAUAACGCAGCGAAAGCUGUGCUAAUACCGCAUACGCCCUGAGGGGGAAAGCGGGGGAUCGCAAGACCUCGCGCGAUUAGAGCGGCCGAUGCCUGAUUAGCUUGUUGGUGGGGUAAAAGCCCACCAAGGCGACGAUCAGUAGCUGGUCUGAGAGGACGAUCAGCCACACUGGGACUGAGACACGGCCCAGACUCCUACGGGAGGCAGCAGUGGGGAAUUUUGGACAAUGGGGGCAACCCUGAUCCAGCAAUGCCGCGUGAGUGAAGAAGGCCUUCGGGUUGUAAAGCUCUUUUGUCAGGGAAGAAACACCGGCUCUAACACAGUCUGGGAAUGACGGUACCUGAAGAAUAAGCACCGGCUAACUACGUGCCAGCCGCCGCGGUAAAAC